UGGGAUAUAACCCAGUUGGUAGAGUGCUUGCCUUGCAUGCACAAAGCCCUGGGUUCAAUCCCCAGCAACCCUG
rfam:Ictidomys tridecemlineatus contig077194, whole genome shotgun sequence.